AGUAAUGCAAGGCAUACGGCUCAGUAACACGUAGUCAACUUACCCUAUGGACGAGGAUAAUCUCGGGAAACUGAGCAUAAUACUCGAUAGAUCAUAAUGCCUGGAAUGGUUUAUGGUUGAAAUGAUUCGUCGCCAUAGGAUGGGACUGCGGCCUAUCAGCUUGUUGGUGAGGUAAUGGCCCACCAAGGCGAUUACAGGUACGGGCUCUGAGAGGAGAAGCCCGGAGAUGGGUACUGAGACAAGGACCCAGGCCCUAUGGGGCGCAGCAGGCGAGAAAACUUUGCAAUGUGCGAAAGCACGACAAGGUUAAUCCGAGUGAUUUCUGCUAAAGAAAUCUUUUGCAAGUCAUAAAACCACUAGUGAAUAAGGGGUGGGCAAGUUCUGGUGUCAGCCGCCGCGGUAAAACCAGCACCUCAAGUGGUCAGGAGGAUUAUUGGGCCUAAAGCAUCCGUAGCCAGCUCUGUAAGUUUUCGGUUAAAUCCAUGUGCUCAACGCAUGGGCUGCCGAAAAUACUGCAUAGCUAGGGAGUGGGAGAGGUAGACGGUACUCGGUAGGAAGGGGUAAAAUCCUUUGAUCUAUCGAUGACCACCUGUGGCGAAGGCGGUCUACCAGAACACGUUCGACGGUGAGGGAUGAAAGCUGGGGGAGCAAACCGGAUUA
rnacentral:rRNA from 1 species